rnacentral:rRNA from 1 species
CGCGUGGGCAACCUGCCUCAUACAGGGGGAUAGCAUCGGGAAACUGGUGGUAAAACCGCAUAAGCGCACGAAGACGCAUGUAUUCGUGUGAAAAGGAGAAAUCUGGUAUGAGAUGGACCCGCGUCUGAUUAGCUAGUUGGAGUGGUAAAAGCACACCAAGGCGACGAUCAGUAGCCGGCCUGAGAGGGUGGACGGCCACAUUGGGACUGAGACACGGCCCAGACUCCUACGGAAGGCAGCAG